GACGAACGCUGGCGGCGUGCUUAACACAUGCAAGUCGAACGGAAAGGCCCUGCUUUUGUGGGGUGCUCGAGUGGCGAACGGGUGAGUAACACGUGAGUAACCUGCCCUUGACUUUGGGAUAACUUCAGGAAACUGGGGCUAAUACCGGAUAGGAGCUCCUGCUGCAUGGUGGGGGUUGGAAAGUUUCGGCGGUUGGGGAUGGACUCGCGGCUUAUCAGCUUGUUGGUGGGGUAGUGGCUUACCAAGGCUUUGACGGGUAGCCGGCCUGAGAGGGUGACCGGCCACAUUGGGACUGAGAGACGGCCCAGACUCCUACGGGAGGCAGCAGUGGGGAAUAUUGCACAAUGGGCGGAAGCCUGAGGCAGCAACGCCGCGUGCGGGAUGACGGCCUUCGGGUUGUAAACCGCUUUCGCAUGUGACGAAGCGUGAGUGACGGUAAUGGGUAAAGAAGCACCGGCUAACUACGUG
rnacentral:rRNA from 1 species